GCAGGCCAGACUGUGAAAACCAGAGCAGUGGGAUCUACACCAUGACAGCUCUGGAUGAUGUGCCUUUUGUGAUCUCUCAGAAGUUUUGUGACAACCCCAAAGAGAUGCAGCAAGUCAAUUUAAUGGGCAUUACGAUCAAAUCCCUGGCAGAGAUCGAGGAGGAAUUUUACUACAACUUCGGCACUGAACGAAGCAUUUCUAUGUAACUUCACACUCGGGCCUCUCAAGCUGCCAGAGCCAUGAAGACUGGAACAUUACAGAUGGACAAGAGGGGUCAUUUGUAAAAUGAUUAACUAAAGAAAUUAAGGGAUACACCGAACCAUACUGCAUAUGUUGUAAUUUUAAACAGAGAACAUUUUUACCUUGUUUCUAUUUAAAUGAUUUAGUUUUUGAAAUAUUUUUGAUCAUGUACACCUUUUCAUGUUCCGUUUUAUAUUUUCUACCAAUUUAUCCUAAAAGUAGCUUUUCUGAAUUUCUGUUUUGUCUUAUCUUACUCAGGUAGUUGUUCAAAAUAAUGUCAUGCUCAAAUAACUCUAAUAUCUCUAAACAGAUUCAUUUGUAAAAGUAUAUGAGCUGUGCCUCACAUUUCGCUCAUCAGAACAACAGGGCCGUGCUGACAGGGAGUUGCAGUCAAGGACACCGGGGAGCAGAGCGGCAGCCUCAUUACACACAGAAACAGGCCCUGCUGAUGUUCAUUUUCCAGCACAAAGUUCAUCAUGAGCAGCGCGCAGCAAGAUUCAGCAGAACCUUUUCCCCCAGGUGGCCCGCCCCCCCCCCACGUCAUCAGUGACUCCUCUGCUGAGUCAGGUUUUUAAGAACAGAACAGCUUUAAGUUUGUUACUCCUUCUGUAGCUUUAAGGAGAGUGGUUUGAAGAAAGAGGUGUUAUUAGGGUAAUUUGAUGAACGUCAAAAAGUGUUUUUAUUUCUCUAACAGAUUUAAACAAUACUCCGCUGAAGAAUGUAAAUUUCCACUUGGAUAGCAAAACAACACGUUCACUUCUGCUCACGUGUCAUUUGUAACUAAUUAAACUGUCUGAAUUCAUUUGAAAAUUAGUAUUUGAAACUCAUUAAUGGAUUAAUGUCCCUCUACCUAAACUCUUCAAAUAAGUUUGUGACCUUAUGGAUACGACUAACAGUGCAGGGUUUUUCUCCUGACCAAAAUUCCUAAUGGCUUUUGGUAAUUCUAGGAGUGUAAUGAAGCAUACAACAGAUGUCAACCCUGUACGAGCAGCUGCGUUAACUCCUCUGUUCUGCUGCUGAUAUCAGAGCGACAGUAUGAGGAAUCCUCUGCAGAGGGGAAUGGCUUUCACGCUCCUUCAUGAAGGUGACACUUGUGUCGGUGAUGCCUUAGAGCACAGUGACAGUCUCCGACAGUCCUCCUCCCUGCUGUGCGUUAAGCGCACACGUGCAGAACGCCUCAUGUAAACACAGUCACACACAUACAAAAGGUGUAGCUGUGACUUUACGUUUUCCACCAUUAGGCAUCUGUAUGUAAAACGUAAUAUGCCAAUGAUUGAAUCUAUUUAACAUUUUAGAUAAUAGUUUUAGAUAAAAUCAGUGAGAUUCUAUACUUUUCUUAUGACUAACAAAUUCAAUGAAAAGAUCCAACAUCAACAACAAAUAUUGUCAAUAGUUUUAAGCCUAUACUGUGCAGUAUAUCAUAUUCUUGUGUGUCAUAGACUUCAGUGGUUGUCCAGAAACUAUUAAAAACACAUUUGGUCCACACUGUCGCACUGGGUGACGUGUUCCUUCAUAACAAUGAUUGGCCCUAAGUUUAAAGUGAUCUCACAUCCGCCAUAUGUACUGACUAAAG